GCGGGAGUAACUCAGUUGGUAGAGUACAACGUUGCCAACGUUGUUGUCGCGGGUUCGAACCCCGUCUCCCGCUCCA
rnacentral:tRNA from 1 species